UAGUUAUUUUAUAUAUAUGUAUAUGUAUCUAGUCUGUAAUGCAUCUAAUAAUAUAUGUUUUCCAUUCAAUUCCUCAUCAGCUCAUUGGGAUAUUCUUGGCAUUUUGUCUGUCUCGCUAUAUCACCAACAACCAAUAUGAGAUGGUGUAGUGAUCCACAGGAUAUCAACUGGAGAUCACAGAGAGCUGAACCUGAUAAAAAGGGAAACCAUUUAGUUUCAGUGUUUUGUAUGUGUGCCUUAGCUAAACCUUUCAUUUUAGAGAAUUUCUGAAUGCUUUUUAAAGAGUAUUUCUUGUUUGUAAGUGCAUUGAAGGGAAGGAACCGAUUUGCAUUUGUUUUGCAAGAGUGUAAAUAUAACAGCGAUCAGAUAUACAGAAGUUUGUAGAAAGUGCAUGUGUUCUAGCCAGUGUUAAACCAAGAACCAGUUAUUCAGUAAAUAGUGACUUUUGUUUCAUUGGAAUUAACACAUGCUAAAACUUUGCAUCUAGUAAAAAAAAAAAAAAAAGUAGUGCAAUUUCUUGCAUGCAACUGAAGUUCAACAUUUUCUCAACAUUUGCCAAAAAGGAUAUUUUUGAGUGACUUAAUAAUUUGAGACAUUUAAGAUGUUAUCCACUCAACAUGUUACACAGGGAGUUCUGUUUAUGUCACCAGCAGUUCAUUUUCAAGAACUAGUUUUAAUACAUGUAUGUUCAUUGCCAUUUGGAUUGCUUCUGUGAAAAUGUGGUUAUUUGCAAUUUCUCUACAGUCUUUAUUAAUGUAGCAGCUAUAGUGUUAUUUGUAAGGUUAUUGAAUGUCAUGGUGAGAGAAAGGUUAUAGUGUGUCUUUGUCUUCAAAAUGUGAAAUCUUUUGCCGUCCAGGUUGAUCAGGUAACAAUAUUUAACAUGUACAUACAAAGCUACAAAUAUCGCCAUUAUCUAUACAGGGGUUGAGCUGUAUUUAAAGACAUCUUUGCAUUUGUAAGGCAAAUAAGGUGAUGUAUAAUCCAGUUUAUUUUUUUAAACUAGAAUUAUUUUCUCUUGUCACUUCAACAUAAUCAUACCGAUUAGCAUUUGUCAUAAAAUAAACCACCCUCUGCGUUUUGUCAGCAUAUGGGUUUACUUUUGGGGCAUGUACACGUUGUAUCUUUGUAAGACGACAGACUGGCAACAGCCUGGUCAUUUUUGUGCAAAUUGUAAAAUGCAUAGGAACAAUAAACUUUUAUAUGAGCAUAGACUUCAGACGUAGCACCACCAGAUGGCGCUAUCUAUUUAUUUAUACGACUGUAUCUUGCAAUCUGGGUUAGGAACCAACGAAGAGUGGAUCAGCAGGUCCAUAAGGGCGAAGUGUGCCAUUUGGGACAGGCGUAUGAUAUAUAGAAAUAUAGCUAAUAUUACUAUCUGUGAUAAUUAUAAAUCGCAAUUACUGUCCUAAAAUGCGUUAAAUCGAGCGGAUGCACAUCACAUUAUUAACACUGAAUGACCAUUAGAGAAAAUAGUAAUUCGUAGGUUAAAUCGCUAUUUCUUUAAUCACCACGAGCAAGAGCUCAUAAUUAAGCUUUGAAAUCGAUCACUGCGUUAAGAGUAAAGAAAAUAUUUACACAUCCUAGUGUGAAGAGAUUAUUAUAUUCUGUAAAAGAUCCCGACAGGCGUCGAUGCAGAUGAAAUGCUGAAGCGCGAUUGGUCCGAAGGCCUGCCAAUCACUUACAGCUCCGCAAGUCAUUGGACAUGACGCUUCCCCGCCUGACGUCAACAGUAUAAAGUUUGUCGGUCCUCGCCAAAGCUAACAGAAGAAGGGAGCUUUCUUCUCAGUUGGGGUAGCAUAAAAUAUUGGCUGUUUCGUCAAUCCUUUAUAGUUUCUCUUUGGGUUAUUCCAGUCCAGUAAACAGUUUCGUCCAGGUUAGUCAUUUGCAUCUAAGUCUUUUUUGAGAUUUAUUGCGUUGUCAUUGCAAGGUCAGGUGAAGUGACGCUUGUCUCGUGUGUAGACGUGCAAUGAAAGGUUCUGCAUGCUCGUUAGUGCAACAUCAGAAAGGCAAAGGCUUUUAAUGAGAUGUUUCAUCAUAAACAUAGUUUAAUUCUGUUUGGUUGUUGAUGCUUUAAAUAGACAAUGCAAUAUAUCUAUCUAUCUAUACUAGCGACGCGGCACUGAAUCGAGAGGUUCUAGGUUGAACUCAUUGAACCGGGAAAUCGCGGAGUUGCUUCAUUAAAUGGCGGUCUUCCAGUUAUAAUUUAGUGUUUAAAAGAAAUUUAAAUUUUAGCUCAAGCUGAAUUAUGGCUGCAGCAACUGAAUUAGGACACGUGAAACUGUAAUAAACUUAAAUGUACCAACAAAUGGCUUUAUGCGAAGGUUUUACAACGUG
rnacentral:lncRNA from 12 species